CUCAGGAUAAGAAAUUGUACCCACCAUACUUCAAUCAAGACUAUCACAGGGUAUUCUUCUUCAGUGACGAGCAUCAACACAUCCAUUCUCAUGAGUGUAACUCCGAGGGAUACUCAUGGCUGCAGAGGGUAGAAAUUGAAAGCAGAACUGUCGGGUG
rnacentral:lncRNA from 14 species